rnacentral:rRNA from 1 species
CGUGUAGGCGGCUCAUCAAGUCUGGUGUGAAAGCGCAGGGCUCAACCCUGCGUAGGCGCCUGGAAACUGGUGGGCUGGAGUUCCUGAGGGGAAGCUGGAAUUCCAGGUGUAGGGGUGAAAUCUGUAGAUAUCUGGAAGAACACCGGUGGCGAAGGCGAGCUUCUAUCAGAGGACUGACGCUGAGGCGCGAAAGCGUGGGGAGCAAACAGGAUUAGAUACCCUGGUAGUCCACGCUGUAAACGAUGUGCACUAGGCGUGGGGCACGUACGUGUUCUGUGCCGUAGUUAACGUGAUAGUGCACGCCGUGGGAGUAUGCUCGACAAGGGUGAA